rnacentral:tRNA from 1 species
UCCCUCGAGCCGGAUUUGAACCAGCGACCUAAGGAUCACCGUUGUAACAUCUACAGUUCACCGCUCUGCCAACUGAGCUAUCGAGGG